rnacentral:rRNA from 1 species
CCCUUAGAUGUUCUGGGCCGCACGCGUGCUACACUGAGUGGAUCAGCGGGCCAGGUUGCGCGAAAGUGUUUCCUAAUCUUUAAAUCCGCUCGUGAUGGGGAUUGACGGUUGCAAUUUUCCGUCAUGAACGAGGAAUACCUUGUAAGCGCGGGUCAUCAUCCCGCGCUGAAUACGUCCCUGCCCUUUGUACACACCACCCGUCGCUCCUACCGAUUGAGUGGUCCGGUGAGGCUUUGGGAUCUGAGCGGAAAGAGCGUUUCGCUGUUUCUGCCCGGAAAACUCAGUCGAACCUUAUCAUUUAGAGGAAGGAGAAGUCGUAACA